rnacentral:lncRNA from 1 species
UUAGAUGCAGAAUUCUGAGGAAAGGUAGUAAUCCAAGUAGUGGCAAGGCUUCCCAACCCUGGCAAUCCUCUAGUUCCAAAUGUUCAAGAUUGGAUAACAAGGUUUGGUUCAGCCAACUUGGAGAUUUGAUUCCCAUAUAGCCUGUGAUUCUCAGCUCAGUGAGGUUGGGAUGUGGCUGAAGAGCUUCAAAUACCUCUUCAUGCUUGUCAGGGUUAUUGUCUCUUUUCUCCAAUUGUCUCCAGAACAAAAGCAAUGCAUUAAGGUGCUCUUUGUUAUCUAACCUGGCCUGUAUGCACUCUGUUGCACUUCCAACCAUAUCUAGAUUCAUAAUGCUUAAUUGUCCUUGAAGUUGCCUCAUGUCUCUCAACUGUCCUAGCUCAUAUCCUUUCUUCUUCCUUACAUGAAACUCUUUCAGCACUUGCAGAGAUUUCAAUCUACCAAUUUCGCUGAUAGUAGAAACUUUCUCCUGAUUUAUGUCUAGAUAACGCAUGCUUAUUAAUUUUGUGCAUUCCUGUAGGUAACGGGCUGCCUUGAUGCAACGGCACACAAAACUGGAGACUCAACCCUUGUACAUGGUAAAGCCUGCAGACAGACUUCAGCAGGCCUAAUAAUUGACCGCCUGGGACUUCCAGAUACCUGAGAUGCUUCAAGUGACCAA